rnacentral:rRNA from 1 species
GUGACCGAUAGUGAACCAGUACCGUGAGGGAAAGGUGAAAAGCACCCCGGAAGGGGAGUGAAAUAGAUCCUGAAACCGUGUGCCUACAAGUAGUUAGAGCCCGUUUAUGGGUGAUGGCGUGCCUUUUGUAGAAUGAACCGGCGAGUUACGAUUCUUUGCAAGGUUAAGGUAAAACCGGAGCCGUAGCGAAAGCGAGUCUGAAUAGGGCGUUUUGAGUAAAGAGUCGUAGACCCGAACACAGGUGAUCUACCCAUGUCCAGGGUGAAGGUAAGGUAACACUUACUGGAGGCCCGAACCCACGUACGUUGAAAAGUGCGGGGAUGAGGUGUGGGUAGCGGUGAAAUUCCAAUCGAACCUGGAGAUAGCUGGUUCUCUCCGAAAUAGCUUUAGGGCUAGCGUCGAUGUUAAGUCUCUUGGAGGUAGAGCACUGUUUGGGUGAGGGGUCCAUCCCGGAUUACCAAUCUCAGAUAAACUCCGAAUGCCAAUGAGAUAUAAUCGGCAGUCAGACUGCGAGUGCUAAGAUCCGUAGUCGAAAGGGAAACAGCCCAGACCACCAGCUAAGGUCCCAAAAUAUAUGUUAAGUGGAAAAGGAUGUGGGGUUGCACAGACAACUAGGAUGUUAGCUUAGAAGCAGCUAUUCAUUCAAAGAGUGCGUAAUAGCUCACUAGUCGAGUGACCCUGCGCCGAAAAUGUACCGGGGCUAAAACAUAUUACCGAAGCUGUGGAUACCUUUAUAGGUAUGGUAGGAGAGCGUUCUAUGUGCGAAGAAGGUGUACCGUGAGGAGUGCUGGAGCGCAUAGAAGUGAGAAUGCCGGUAUGAGUAGCGAAAGAAGGGUGAGAAUCCCUUCCACCGAAUGCCUAAGGUUUCCUGAGGAAGGCUCGUCCGCUCAGGGUUAGUCGGGACCUAAGCCGAGGCCGAAAGGCGUAGGCGAUGGACAACAGGUUGAUAUUCCUGUACUAGAGUAUAUAGUGAUGGAGGGACGCAGUAGGCUAACUAAACCAGACGAUUGGAAGUGUCUGGCCAAGCAGUGAGGUGUGAUAUGAGUCAAAUGCUUAUAUCUUUAACGUUGAGCUGUGAUGGGGAGCGAAGUUUAGUAGCGAAGUUAGUGAUGUCACACUGCCGAGAAAAGCUUCUAGCGUUAAUUAUACUCUACCCGUACCGCAAACCGACACAGGUAGUCGAGGCGAGUAGCCUCAGGUGAGCGAGAGAACUCUCGUUAAGGAACUCGGCAAAAUGGCCCCGUAACUUCGGGAGAAGGGGCGCUGACUGAUGGUCAGCCGCAGUGAAUAGGCCCAAGCAACUGUUUAUCAAAAACACAGCUCUCUGCUAAAUCGUAAGUUGAUGUAUAGGGGGUGACGCCUGCCC